UACGGGAGGCAGCAGUGGGGAAUAUUGCACAAUGGGCGCAAGCCUGAUGCAGCCAUGCCGCGUGUAUGAAAAAGGCCUUCGGGUUGUAAAGUACUUUCAGUCGUGAGGAAGGUGUUAAGGUUAAUAACCUUAGCAAUUGACGUUAGCGACAGAAGAAGCACCGGCUAACUCCGUGCCAGCAGCCGCGGUAAUACGGAGGGUGCGAGCGUUAAUCGGAAUUACUGGGCGUAAAGGGCACGCAGGCGGUUAAUUAAGUUGGAUGUGAAAUCCCCGGGCUUAACCUGGGAAUGGCAUUCAAGACUGGUUAGCUAGAGUCUUGUAGAGGGGGUAGAAUUCCAUGUGUAGCGGUGAAAUGCGUAGAGAUGUGGAGGAAAUACCGGUGGCGAAAGGCGGCCCCUGGGACAAAGACUGACGCUCAUGUGCGAAAAGCGUGGGGAGCAAAACAGGGAUUAGAUACC
rnacentral:rRNA from 1 species